rnacentral:rRNA from 1 species
AGGACGCUGGCGGCUGCUAACACAUGCAAGUCGAACGGUACGGGCCCGCAAGGGUGCGACGAGUGGCGGACGGGUGAGGAAUACAUCGGAAUUUGCCCAGUCGUGGGGGAUAACGUAGGGAAACUUACGCUAAUACCGCAUACGACCGAGAGGUGAAAGCGGGGGAUCUUCGGACCUCGCGCGAGUGGAUGAGCCGAUGUCGGAUUAGCUAGUUGGCGGGGUAAGGGCCCACCAAGGCGACGAUCCGUAGCUGGUCUGAGAGGAUGAUCAGCCACACUGGGACUGAGACACGGCCCAGACUCCUACGGGAGGCAGCAGUGGGGAAUAUUGGACAAUGGGGGCAACCCUGAUCCAGCAAUGCCGCGUGUGUGAAGAAGGCCUUCGGGUUGUAAAGCACUUUUAUCCGGAACGAAACGCGCCAGGUGAAUAGCUUGGGAACUGACGGUACCGGAGGAAUAAGCACCGGCUAACUUCGUGCCAGCAGCCGCGGUAAUACGAAGGGUGCAAGCGUAACUCGGAAUUACUGGGCGUAAAGGGUGCGUAGGCGGGUCCUUAAGUCAGGGGUGAAAUCCUGGAGCUCAAUCCAGAAAUGCCUUUGAUACUGAGGAUCUUGAGUUCGGGAGAGGUGAGUGGAAACUGCGAGUUGUACGAGGUGGAAUUUCGGUAAGAUUUCGCAGGAACACCAGGGGCGAAGGCGGGUCACUGGCCCGAUACUGACGCUUGAGGCACGAAAGCGUAGGGGAGCAAACAGGAUUAGAAUACCCUGGGUAGGUCCACAGCCGGUAAACGAUGAAUUGCCAGCCG